rnacentral:rRNA from 1 species
AGCAACCUGCCUUUCUGAGGGGGAUAACAUCCGGAAACGGAUGCUAAUACCGCAUAAUAUAUACCGGUGGCAUCAUUGGUAUAUCAAAGGAGCAAUCCGCAGAAAGAUGGGCUCGCGUCCGAUUAGCUAGAUGGCGGGGUAAUGGCCCACCAUGGCGACGAUCGGUAGCCGGACUGAGAGGUUGAACGGCCACAUUGGGACUGAGACACGGCCCAGACUCCUACGGGAGGCAGCAGUGGGGGAUAUUGCACAAUGGGCGAAAGCCUGAUGCAGCAACGCCGCGUGAGGGAAGAAGGUAUUCGUAUUGUAAACCUCUGUCAUUGGUGAAGAAAAAAAUGACGGUAGCCGAUGAGGAAGCCACGGCUAACUACGUGCCAGCAGCCGCGGUAAUACGUAGGUGGCAAGCGUUGUCCGGAAUUACUGGGUGUAAAGGGUGCGCAGGCGGGGAUGCAAGUUGGAUGUGAAACCUAUGGGCUUAACCCAUAGCCUGCAUCCAAAACUGUAUUUCUUGAGUGGAGUAGAGGCAGGCGGAAUUCCGAGUGUAGCGGUGAAAUGCGUAGAUAUUCGGAGGAACACCAGUGGCGAAGGCGGCCUGCUGGGCUCUAACUGACGCUGAGGCACGAAAGCAUGGGGAGCAAACAGGAUUAGAUACCCUGGUAGUCCAUGCCGUAAACGAUGACUGCUAGGUGUGGGAGGUCUGACCCCUUCCGUGCCGGAGUUAACACAAUAAGCAAUCCACCUGGGGAGUACGGUCGCAAGACUGAAACUCAAAUGAAUUGACGG